GUAACUCCCUUUGCAGGCCAAUCACCUUGUCAUACAGUAAAGUUAGGCUUCCCAUGAAUUCCGUCGAUGGAGUCCGCGGCUACAAAUAGAAAUAUUUUAUCAGUAGAGACGGAAUACAGGUAAUUAAUUUCGCGUAUCCUACUUUCCCCCAGACGUUCCCACCUUCCCCACUCUUAAAUUUCCAAUCCUUAGCUCUCCACUAACGAUACUCUAAUCCCCUUCACCAAUUACUCUAAUUCCCCGAAACGAGAACGGGGAGAGAGAGCUUAAAAGCAAGGCAACAUAUCCCCAAAGCCGCCAUAAAAGGUUGAGAACGGGGAAAGUAGGCCGCCGGAGUCCAACACCCCNNN
rnacentral:lncRNA from 1 species